GGUGCUAAAGAGAGACAAAACUCGUGUGGGUGGCUGGAGAUUAGCCAUUUGGAAUUCUCUCCUUUGCUUUGUGCCACAAGCUGUUUGCCUGUUCCCGCUCCGGGGUGGCAUCUCCUCCAGAGUCUGGAAUCAUCGUGGAAUUGUUGAGGUUGGAAAAGAGCUCGAAGAGCAUCGCUCCUCUCCGUCCGUGUGUUUCCUGAACGCUUCCAGGCAUGGCAGCUCCACCAGAAAGGCUUUUCAUGGUGGAUUUUUCCCUAAAUUCCAACCUAAAAUUCCUUUUUUCUAAAUUCCAGCCUCAAAUUCCUUUUUUCUAAAUUCCGUCGGCCCAGCUCGAGGCCUUUCUGUCCCUUCCUGUUCCUUGGGACACGAGGUUGACCCCAGCUGUUCUCUCCUUCCUCCUGUUCUCUUUCCAAAUCAAUCCCCACAGCUCAAAGCUCUGAAAUCUCUUUUUUCCACCCCAAGCUACUCGUGGUGAGCACCAAAAAAUGUUCCCAAAGGCAAAUGUGGAGGGAGACAGGAGCAAGCAGGAAAUCAUCGAUUCACAAUAUUGAAAUUCCAGCUUCCCUCCAAUUAGCCAGCUUCCCAAUAUUUGAACAGAAGAGCAUUUGAAUGCAAUUACAACAUUGGAAUUCUGUGCAUAAUUAGCUCCCUAUUAAAGUAUUUAUGGAGCCCUUUUUUUCCCAUCCGAAACAGCGAAAGCCAGAGCAUUUUAUUCCUUACUGUUACAAUAAUUAACUAUGCAAGGAGAACAGCAUAUUAAUAGAGCAUAAUUUGUUUACAUUGAAAAGAAAAUUGUGCUAGAUUAGCAUAGCAAAAGACUAUUUCCAUAUCCAGGCAGGAAUGUUCAGGCCUAAUAGCAAUUUUCAGUGUCGUUAAGGAAUAUUAUUAAUAAAGUAACACGGUGUAAUUCCCUUUGCCCCCGCCGUAUUUCACAAUGUCCUUAAUUACGGCUAAUUCCGGCGGGACUCAUUUGGGGGUUAUUAAGCCGGAGACACGGGAAUCUUAAAUACAACCUUUGGUAAUGAGGAGGCUGCGAAGUUCCUGGGAAUGCUGAGGAUGGAAGGAAGGGACGGGCAGCAGAGCCCUUGGGAUAAUCCUGGGGGAAAAAAAUAAAAAUGGAUUGAAACUCGCUCUGGGGAUGGGCAGUUCUGCGCCCAAUUCCGCAGGAAUUCAGAGAGAAACGCUCCCAAAAUCAAUCCAGGAUUCAAUGAGGGUUGGAACGGCUUCUCCCAAAUCCCAGCGUGCCUCAUCCCCCCCCUCCAAACAUCAACAAUGAAGCCUCUGUCUUCUUGCAGGAUGUUUGUCAUCUUUUGAUGCCGUGCCAGCAAAGCGCGGAAUUGUGGGAGAGCAAAGCUCCCAAAGUGAUCUCUGCUCUGCAAGUUCCAGAAAGAUCCACGCUCCGAAAAGGACGGGGCAGGAAGUUCGGCUGGCUGGGGGAAAAGCAGCUCCAGACACAACGGGACCUUUAUCAGCUUGAACUUCAUCUCCGCCCCAGAAAAGCUGCACCCGGCACAGCCCUGCCAGAGGAAACUUCCAGAAGGUCUUCAUUUGGGGACUUGGAGCUUCCAGGGGCUGCACUCUCAUCCCAGUUGGAACUUUAUCUCCAGCCUGAAAUGAUUUGGCUGUGGACGUCAGUGCCUUCCUGCAGGAUUAAGGGAUCCUCUCCGGUGGCAGGAGGAUCCCUCAUUCCCAGGAAACUCGAGAGAGAAGUUCUGAGGUGGCCACCUCGUGGGAAGUUGAGGAUUCACUGGACAGGCCUGGAAUCCCCCAUGGACUGAGGAAACACCAGGGUAAGCAGAAAAAGCUGCUUUUCUCCAAAGUUCUGAAGUUUGCUCUUCCCCCAGCCAGAAGAACCAGUCCUGGACAUGGAAGAGGGAACAUGAAUUUUACCGUUGCUAUAGCGA